AUCCUGGCUCAGAUUGAACGCUGGCGGCAGGCCUAACACAUGCAAGUCGAAUGGUAACAGGGAAACAGCUUGCUGUUUCGCUGACGAGUGGCGGACGGGUGAGUAAUGUCUGGGAAACUGCCUGAUGGAGGGGGAUAACUACUGGAAACGGUAGCUAAUACCGCAUAACGUCGCAAGACCAAAGAGGGGGACCUUCGGGCCUCUUGCCAUCAGAUGUGCCCAGAUGGGAUUAGCUAGUAGGUGGGGUAACGGCUCACCUAGGCGACGAUCCCUAGCUGGUCUGAGAGGAUGACCAGCCACACUGGAACUGAGACACGGUCCAGACUCCUACGGGAGGCAGCAGUGGGGAAUAUUGCACAAUGGGCGCAAGCCUGAUGCAGCCAUGCCGCGUGUAUGAAGAAGGCCUUCGGGUUGUAAAGUACUUUCAGCGGGGAGGAAGGGAGUAAAGUUAAUACCUUUGCUCAUUGACGUUACCCGCAGAAGAAGCACCGGCUAACUCCGUG
rnacentral:rRNA from 1 species